rnacentral:rRNA from 1 species
AGUGAACGCUGGCGGUAGGCCUAACACAUGCAAGUCGAACGGCAGCACAGUAAGAGCUUGCUCUUACGGGUGGCGAGUGGCGGACGGGUGAGGAAUACAUCGGAAUCUACUUUUUCGUGGGGGAUAACGUAGGGAAACUUACGCUAAUACCGCAUACGACCUACGGGUGAAAGCAGGGGAUCUUCGGACCCUGCGCGAUUGAAUGAGCCGAUGUCGGAUUAGCUAGUUGGCGGGGUAAAGGCCCACCAAGGCGACGAUCCGUAGCUGGUCUGAGAGGAUGAUCAGCCACACUGGAACUGAGACACGGUCCAGACUCCUACGGGAGGCAGCAGUGGGGAAUAUUGGACAAUGGGCGCAAGCCUGAUCCAGCCAUACCGCGUGGGUGAAGAAGGCCUUCGGGUUGUAAUGCCCUUUUGUUGGGAAAGAAAAGCAGCAGGUUAAUACCCCGCUGUUCUGACGGUACCCAAAGAAUAAGCACCGGCUAACUUCGUG